AGCAUAUCAAUAAGCGGAGGAAAAGAAACUAACAAGGAUUCCCCUAGUAACUGCGAGUGAAGCGGGAAAAGCUCAAAUUUAAAAUCUGGCAGUCUUUGGCUGUCCGAGUUGUAAUCUAGAGAAGCGACAUCCGCGCUGGACCGUGUACAAGUCUCCUGGAAUGGAGCGUCAUAGAGGGUGAGAAUCCCGUCUUUGACACGGACUGCCAGGGCUUUGUGAUGCGCUCUCAAAGAGUCGAGUUGUUUGGGAAUGCAGCUCAAAAUGGGUGGUAAAUUCCAUCUAAAGCUAAAUAUUGGCGAGAGACCGAUAGCGAACAAGUACCGUGAGGGAAAGAUGAAAAGAACUUUGGAAAGAGAGUUAAACAGUACGUGAAAUUGCUGAAAGGGAAACGCUUGAAGUCAGUCGCAUUGUCCAGGGAUCAACCUUGCUUUUGCUUGGUUUACUUUCUGGUUGAUGGGUCAGCAUCAAUUUUGACUAUUGGAAAAAGGUCAGGGGAAUGUGGCAUCCUUGGAUGUGUUAUAGCCCUUGGUUGUAUACAAUGGUUGGGAUUGAGGAACUCAGCACGCCGCAAGGCCGGGUUUUAAACCACGUACGUGCUUAGGAUGCUGGCAUAAUGGCUUUAAUCGACCCGUCUUGAAACACGGACCAAGGAGUCUAACAUACCUGCGAGUGUUUGGGUGGAAAACUCGAGCGCGUAAUGAAAGUGAAAGUUGAGAUCCCUGUCGUGGGGAGCAUCGACGCCCGGACCAGACCUUUUGUGACGGCUCCGCGGUAGAGCAUGUAUGUUGGGACCCGAAAGAUGGUGAACUAUGCCUGAAUAGGGUGAAGCCAGAGGAAACUCUGGUGGAGGCUCGUAGCGAUUCUGACGUGCAAAUCGAUCGUCAAAUUUGGGUAUAGGGGCGAAAGACUAAUCGAACCAUCUAGUAGCUGGUUCCUGC
rnacentral:rRNA from 1 species